CGCCGGCGGCCCCACGCCUGCUCCGCCCCUCGCUCCGCCCCGUCACCGCAGAGCCGCGGGCGGGAGAGGGGAGGGGCCUGGAAGAACCUGGGGGCCCCGGGCGGUCGCGUGACUCCGGGAUAGCGUUAUCUGGAUUUUGCAAGCAACUGCCUCCGGGAGGGACCCUUUGGACAGGCAAUCGGAGGCCUGGCUUUCAGCAGCUUGAUAACGCGCCCCGGGGUUGGACUUUAACAACGGUCUCGUUGCUUCCGUGCUGCUUUGAGACGACAGAAGGGGAAGUUGAGACCAGAUACACCUAAGUGAAGGAGAUAGAAUGCUAGCUCUGCGUCCCGGGCUGUCCGCAAAACUAAUCCAGCGGUCCGCGAAGUGUGGCCCCUGGACCAACUGUAUACCUGGUACUUGUCAGAAAUGAAAGUUCCAGGGCAUCACCCAGAAACACUCAAUCAGAAACUCUAGGAAUGAGGUUCAGAAAUCUGCAUUUUUCCAAAUGUUCCAGGUUAUUCCAGCGCGUGCUUGAAUUUGAGAACUACUGUGCUAGUUUUAGAGGUAUGGUUCAACUGUGACAAAAUCAAUUUUGAUUACCAACCUGCAAAGCACCUGGGUUUGCGGAAUCCUACUUCACGGCUGGGUUUUGAGAGAUCAGUCCUUGAAACAUGGGGAAAAGCACUGAUAACCACAGAAACAAAACUGAUCCUUCACAAAAGGUAGUUUGAGAAGCACAGAGGCCUCAUCUGUAGCCUAAGAACAAUGACGGAGAGAGAGAUGUGUGGCCCAGUAAAACAGAAGAAAACCCUGUGUUUCUACGCUAACAGGGCUUUGUGCACCCGAGAAUCCAUCUCAGCCCCUUUGACCAGUCUCGUUCCCCUUAUGGUCCUAACAAAGCUUUGCUAUUCAGCAAAUUUCAAGUCUCUAUGUCAGUUCUGCCCUGUAUUUCAGCAUAAAAAUUCAACAAACUUUACUUUUCUAGUAUUUAGAAAAUUCUAUUACAAUACUUGUAAUUUGGAAUAGCUUUUAGGAGUAUUAAAUGAUCCAUGUUAAAGGCAAGGAAAAAACAAAGCCUCCACUAAGAAGACAUGGCGCCUAAAUACAAUGCAUGAUCUCGGCUGGGGAGGGGGCGGGGGGGUGGAUAGCUAAGCAAGACAUUACUGGGACAAUUAAUGAAAGUUGAAUAUAGACUAGGGAUUAAAAAAUAAUAUUGUAUCAAUAUUAAAGUUCCUAAUUUUGAUAAUGAUACUGUGGCUAUGUUCUUAGGAAAUACACUGAAACAUUUAGGGGUAGAGGGGUAUAACUUACUCUCAAAUGGUAAUAAUAAUAUGUAUCUAUUUACAUCUAUAUAAAUAUGUAUUAUCCAUAGUAUACACAUAGAUUACAUGUCUAUGAUGAGACAGCAAAUUAUGGAACAAAUAAGGCAAAAUGUUAACUAUUAAUGAAUUAGGAAUAGGGCAUCCAGGAAUUCUUAUGUCGAAAUACAAAGUUAUUUAAAAAACAGAAAAAUAAAGUCUCCAGCCUACUGAUGUGGGUAGUUCUGCUAUGUAGCCAAUCCUUAUCUUUCCCACGUCUUCAAGUCCUGAGACUUGUAUCCCGGGGUUAAGUUGUGCAACCAACUGAUGGGUAUGGUUAUGAAACAAUAAAAAGAUAAAGUUGUGAAAUAA